GUAGGCUGCAACCCGCCUGCAUGAAGUCGGAAUUGCUAGUAAUCGCAGAUCAGCAUGCUGCGGUGAAUACGUUCCCGGGCCUUGUACACACCGCCCGUCACACCAUGGGAGUCGGUAACACCCAAAGUUGGUAGCCUAACCGCAAGGAGGGCGCCGCCUAAGGUGGGAUUGAUGACUGGGGUGAAGUCGUAACAAGGUAGC
rnacentral:rRNA from 1 species